rnacentral:rRNA from 1 species
CAGAUGGGAUUAGCUAGUAGGUGGGGUAACGGCUCACCUAGGCGACGAUCCCUAGCUGGUCUGAGAGGAUGACCAGCCACACUGGAACUGAGACACGGUCCAGACUCCUACGGGAGGCAGCAGUGGGGAAUAUUGCACAAUGGGCGCAAGCCUGAUGCAGCCAUGCCGCGUGUAUGAAGAAGGCCUUCGGGUUGUAAAGUACUUUCAGCGGGGAGGAAGGGAGUAAAGUUAAUACCUUUGCUCAUUGACGUUACCCGCAGAAGAAGCACCGGCUAACUCCGUGCCAGCAGCCGCGGUAAUACGGAGGGUGCAAGCGUUAAUCGGAAUUACUGGGCGUAAAGCGCACGCAGGCGGUUUGUUAAGUCAGAUGUGAAAUCCCCGGGCUCAACCUGGGAACUGCAUCUGAUACUGGCAAGCUUGAGUCUCGUAGAGGGGGGUAGAAUUCCAGGUGUAGCGGUGAAAUGCGUAGAGAUCUGGAGGAAUACCGGUGGCGAAGGCGGCCCCCUGGACGAAGACUGACGCUCAGGUGCGAAAGCGUGGGGAGCAAACAGGAUUA